UACGGAGGGUGCAAGCGUUAAUCGGAAUUACUGGGCGUAAAGCGUGCGCAGGCGGUUUGUUAAGUCUGCUGUGAAAUCCCCGAGCUCAACUUGGGAGUUGCAGUGGAUACUGGCAGGCUGGAGUAUGGUAGAGGAAGGUGGAAUUCCCGGUGUAGCAGUGAAAUGCGUAGAGAUCGGGAGGAACACCAGUGGCGAAGGCGGCCUUCUGGACCAAUACUGACGCUCAUGCACGAAAGCGUGGGGAGCAAACAGG
rnacentral:rRNA from 1 species